rnacentral:rRNA from 1 species
CCCGUUAUAGNAAUUCGAUUAAGACAUGCGAGUCGAGAGUCUUCGGGACUCGGCGGACUGCUCAGUAACACGUGGAUAACAUGCCCUUAGGAGGGGGAUAAUCUCGAGAAAUUGAGGAUAAUACCCCAUAGGCCAUGAAUGCUGGAAUGCUUUAUGGCCCAAAGCUCCGGCGCCUAAGGAUUGGUCUGCGGCCUAUCAGGUUGUAGUGGGUGUAACGGACCCACUAGCCUAUGACGGGUAUGGGCCUUGAGAGAGGGAGCCCAGAGAUGGACUCUGAGACACGAGUCCAGGCCCUACGGGGCGCAGCAGUCGCGAAACCUUCACACUGGGGGAAACCCUGAUGAGGGAAUUCCUAGUGCCUGCAUUUUUUGUAGGCUUUUAUCUAGUGUAGAUAGCUAGAAGAAUAANGGCCGGGUAAGACGGGUGCCAACCGCCACGGUAAUACCCGCGGCCCAA